AAAAAGGCAUCUUUUUUGUUUUUAAAGACCUAGCAAUAGGUAUGCUUAGGGAGGAGCUUGCGUCACAUUAGUUAGUUGGUGGGGUAAAGGCCUACCAAGACUAUGAUGUGUAGCCGGGCUGAGAGGUUGAACGGCCACAUUGGGACUGAGACACGGCCCAAACUCCUACGGGAGGCAGCAGUAGGGAAUUUUCGGCAAUGGAGGAAACUCUGACCGAGCAACGCCGCGUGAACGAUGAAGUAUUUCGGUACGUAAAGUUCUUUUAUUAGGGAAGAAUAAAUGAUGGAAAAAUCAUUCUGACGGUACCUAAUGAAUAAGCCCCGGCUAACUAUGUGCCAGCAGCCGCGGUAAUACAUAGGGGGCAAGCGUUAUCCGGAAUUAUUGGGCGUAAAGGGUGCGUAGGCGGUUAAAUAAGUUUAUGGUCUAAGUGCAAUGCUUAACAUUGUGAUGCUAUAAAAACUGUUUAACUAGAGUAAGAUAGAGGCAAGUGGAAUUCCAUGUGUAGUGGUAAAAUGCGUAAAUAUAUGGAGGAACACCAGUAGCGAAGGCGGCUUGCUGGGUCUUUACUGACGCUGAGGCACGAAAGCGUGGGGAGCAAACAGGAUUAGAUACCCUGGUAGUCCACGCCGUAAACGAUGAGUACUAAAUGUUGGGUAAAACCAGUGUUGAAGUUAACACAUUAAGUACUCCGCCUGAGUAGUACGUACGCAAGUAUGAAACUUAAAGGAAUUGACGGGACUCCGCACAAGCGGUGGAUCAUGUUGUUUAUUUCGAAAGGUACCCGAAAAACCUCACCAGGUCUUGACAUGCUUCUGCAAUCUGUAAAAACCCCAGUGCACGAUUUUAUGACCUGGCUACAAACUUUCCCC
rnacentral:rRNA from 1 species